rnacentral:rRNA from 1 species
UCGAUUGAGUUUGAUCAUGGCUCAGAACGAACGCUGGCGGCGUGCCUAACACAUGCAAGUCGAACGAGAAAGUACUUCGGUAUGAGUAAAGUGGCGCACGGGUCCGUAACACGUGGAUAAUCUACCUUAAAGCGAAAAAUAACCCCUCGAAAGAGGAGCUAAUAUUUCAUAAGACCACAGAUUCUUAGGAAUCCGAGGUAAAAGGAGGCCUCUAUUUAUAAGCUUUCACUUUUUGAUGAGUCCGCGCACCAUUAGCUAGUUGGCGGGGUAAUGGCCCACCAAGGCUCAGAUGGUUAGCUGAUCUGAGAGGAUGAUCAGCGACACUGGAACUGAAACACGGUCCAGACUCCUACGGGAGGCAGCAGUGGGGAAUAUUGGACAAUGGACGAAAGUCUGAUCCAGCAACGCCGCGUGAGCGAUGAAGGCCUUCGGGUCGUAAAGCUCUGUCAGAUGGAACGAAAAAGAUGAACCUAACACGUUCAUUGUUGACGGUACUAUCAAAGGAAGCAUCGGCUAACUCUGUGCCAGCAGCCGCGGUAAGACAGAGGAUGCAAGCGUUGUUCGGAAUUACUGGGCGUAAAGCGCGCGUAGGUGGUUUUGUGUGUCUGGUGUGAAAGCCCUUAGCUCAACUAAGGAAGUGCGCUAGAAACUGCAAAACUUGAAUUCGGGAGAGGAUGGUAGAAUUCUCAGUGUAGAGGUGAAAUUCGUAGAUACUGGGAGGAACACCGGUGGCGAAGGCGACCAUCUGGACCGAUAUUGACACUAAAGUGCGAAAGCGUGGGUAGCAAA